rnacentral:tRNA from 1 species
AAUCAUAUAGUAUAAACAAGUACAUCUGGUUUCGACCCAGGAGGUUGAAAAGUGUUAAAUUUAUUGU